rnacentral:rRNA from 1 species
UGGGGGAAUUUUUGGACAAUGGGCGAAAGCCUGAUCCAGCAAUGCCGCGUGUGUGAAGAAGGCCUUCGGGUUGUAAAGCACUUUUGUCCGGAAAGAAAUCCUUGGCUCUAAUACAGUCGGGGGAUGACGGUACCGGAAGAAUAAGCACCGGCUAACUACGUGCCAGCAGCCGCGGUAAUACGUAGGGUGCAAGCGUUAAUCGGAAUUACUGGGCGUAAAGCGUGCGCAGGCGGUUUGCUAAGACCGAUGUGAAAUCCCCGGGCUCAACCUGGGAACUGCAUUGGUGACUGGCAGGCUAGAGUAUGGCAGAGGGGGGUAGAAUUCCACGUGUAGCAGUGAAAUGCGUAGAGAUGUGGAGGAAUACCGAUGGCGAAGGCAGCCCCCUGGGCCAAUACUGACGCUCAUGCACGAAAGCGUGGGGAGCAAACAGGAUUAGAUACCCUGGUAGUCCACGCCCUAAACGAUGUCAACUAGUUGUUGGGGAUUCAUUUCCUUAGUAACGUAGCUAACGCGUGAAGUUGACCGCCUGGGGAGUACGGUCG